GAUGAAUCACUCUGAAGCGACAGAGGCCUUCGACGACGCCGUCCGUCAGUACGUGCUCAGGAAAUGCUAGGUUCUUUCCUCCUCGUCCUGAUCACUCUGCAGGAAUUUUAAGUCAGCUGGGCUCAGUGCCUGUCGUAGCCAGCAGUGGACUUAAUUCAUGUGGGUGCACUGUGAGCGCUCACGCUGGGGAUGGCGUUCACAAUAAACAAACGCCUAGGUUAGUAACAGCAAAAGCCAAGGUGAAGACUUCGCUCUCAGAUUCGUCUCCUGUACACUGCUACAGGCGGGAAGCACACAACAAGCCGUUUUCCGUUUUCCCAGGCGGGUUUGAACCUCCUCUGAUAGUUUCUUGUCAGAGAAGGUGUCCAUUAUCAUUUAGGAAUUGUGGUGAAGAGGGCCGGCCUACGGCUAAUAAUUAAACAGGUCACUGCUUGAAAAAAAAAAAAAAAAAACUGCAGGGGAGGCUUCUAAAAGUGGCCCUGAGUUUUUUCUUUCUUUUAAUCUCCAGAGUUUAUCCGUGAGCCCCGAGGUGUCAGAAGCGAAUUGGGUAGAACCUGUCUCACCGCAUCAAAGAGACAUUCAGUACCUGGCCUUAUUAACAUUCACAGUGCAAGCUGGCACAAGACAAACCAAGAUUGCAUUUUAAACUCUGGGGGUGUAUUUAGUGACAAUGGAAAAAGCUUGCUACUACAAUUGAAGUUUUGGCUACAAUGUCUUUAUGAAAAUAGGAAAUAAAUCUAGUUUUACAUUUGUGAACCAGCAAAUAGGACAAUUCUUGGAUUUAUUGAUAGGCUCACUUAAGAAGGGAGAAUUCUACCAUGCCUGUAUUUCUUCAUGCUCCCAGCAGAACGGACUGAGACCCAGCAUUGGUCUCAGCUAAGGCUUGGAAAACGAAGCGUUUCACAAGGCCUCACAACCCUCAAGCUUAGGAGUGGAGUGGGCGGAGUUCCGUCCUGAAGCUAUCUCUGGAGAGGGAAGGACAAAGCUCCACCCUGCUUAGAGGGAGCAGAAGCCAGCUAUGUGGUCACGCUCGCCUCGUCUUAUGAUUUAAAAAAAAAAUGAAGGAGAUGGAGAGACAGAAAAAGUGAAUGCCUUGCCUUUGGAGUAGAACAGAAUUCCUUUUAAUUAUUGAAAUGCUAAGGAGGAGCAUGUCUGCAAAGUGCCUCGGCUCCUCUCACAGCAGCGUGAAAUGGAAAUAGCCAUAAUGCGUUGGAUGUGACUCCAAUUUUCAUUUAUUUUAUCAAAUAAUGAAAUUCUUCCGAUUGGGCACCAAGCAUUCAAACACGUGAGUUCACUGGAGUCCUUUCCAUUCAAACCACCACAGAGUGACGUGACCAAGGAAAAUGUGUGGAAGGGGCAGAGACAGCUACAGUAUGACCCAAGCUUAGGAGUGAAAAUGUGGGCAUACCUGGCACCUGAUGAACCAUAUUAUGAAGACAUGGCAACAGUGAGGAUGAGGAGAAGGCUGAGAUAGGAACCGAAAAGGUGUUCUCCUCUUCCACCCCGGGGGUGCAGAAGAAGAUGCGACAACAAAUGAUGCCUGGAGGCAAGUAACUGUGACCAACAAGUCUCCCACCAAAGAAGCUCUCCCAAUCAAGAAACCAGUAACUUCCUCUGGGGCUAGAAGAAGAAUCUAAUAGUAAAGUCGCCCAAUACCUAAAAUACAUGUACUGUUUUAUAUUUAGAAUAUUGGGAAGCCAAUGCACUUUUCAUAAUCCUGGGAAAAUGCCUUCUACAUCACUUAUCAAAGAAGUCUACCACCAUUGUGAGGCUGUGACCAAAUUUUGAGAUUUUUGCUUUUCUUUCAAUGUCAAAGAUUUUGCUGGUUUAUAUUAGGGGAAAAAAAAAAAAAACAUGGACCCAAGAUUAUGUAUGAAAUCUGGCCCAUUCGUCAAACAAUAGAGUUUUAACGACUUCUGCUUUCCACUCCCCAGGUGGACAGGCAAGAACUAAAACACCAGCUGUCACCCUGAAAGACUAUCCGCUCUCUCAAAAAUGUUCUCUUUGUUUACCAAGAGGAGGUUAAGCCAAUAGCAAAAAAAAAAAAAAAACACCUAAUUAAAAAUACGCUGUUGUUAUAUUUUAUUUUGAAAAAAAAAUAGAACGAGUUCAGGAAUCAAAACCUCACUGUUAGGAAGGGAGGCCUGUGCUCUUCACUGACUAGCAGACACUCUCGAUGGGGUCUUCCAGAGUAAUAAAAUAACCAAAGAAGAACUAGAAUACUGAAAGCAGUCUUACUUUUGCCAACGAGUGUGUCUGUGUCCGUUGAGAACAUCAUCGCCCCUUUCCCACUGCUGCCUCCUGAGCGCAGAGGCCAAGGACUAGAAUUUGUAAGGCUUUGCAUAAGAGGGGGAGAGCGACCAAAGAGACCAAAGAGACGGCCUCCAGCUCUCAUUAGCAGCCUAUGAUUCACUGCGUUGGCACAACUACUGUUCACCUAAUUUCCAACGAAAACAAAACGCUGCCGGCGAGGCCUGUCAAAGGCCUGAUGACACUUUCAAGUACCCAUGGCAUAAAUAAAGUUAUCUUUUUUAAAACAGCCAUCCUCUUGGAAUGACUACAGAGCAAUUUCUCGCUGAACAACUCCAACUAAGAGGAGUUAAUUAUCUGAGAAGCGAGUGAGAACAAGAAGGGGUGAAUUUUGAACCGCGGAAAAAUCAUUUAUGAAAUGACUUACAUAUCUAAAAUUUCGGCUGCCUGUAACAUUAUCCGUAAGUGAGUGCUCGUGGCUAACGCACAAGAGUAUAAAAGUACACACUGCCAGGAGACGAAAGUGGAUCGUUAGGUGUAAGGACCACGAGGCAACACUUGAUAUACCAAACUGUGGUUUUGAACCAUUAUCUGGCCUGCAACACACCAGAAUGUUCUGACACAUGAUCCACCUGAAAUCAGGUCUGGCAGAGACAAAUGCUGAACACCUGUUAUCAACGCAAGCCACCCCAAGAUCUCUGAGGACAGAAACGCUUGAGCCCAGGGGUCCCAGUCAGUAUUGUAAAAGUCUGUCUCAAACAACUGAAAAAGGAAACAGGGGCUGAAGAGGGAACAUUGGGUAGAGUGGUAACGUUGCGUCAGAGAUUACAUCUCAACAAGACAGAGUUCCUGCCUGCAACUGGUUCUCCCAGGGUCUCGGCGUCUCAGGAGAAAGCGCAGAAGCUGUCGCUGGAUCCCGAGCUCAGAGCCUGGUUUGCUAGACUGUCUAAACCCUCCCUGCUUUCCCUGGUUUCUUCACCUGCACACCUCUGCCGCUCGGAGCUGCACUUUUCAUCUAGCAGAACCGGUCUGCGACACCCCCAUCCCAUUUCUCUAUAACCCCCACUUUGUUCACAGAAACCGUCCUUACCACGCCAGGUCUCCACAUCCGCAUAAACUCCCCACUUUUAUUCCUGGGGCCGCAACUCGGCCAUAAGGUGCGGCCCUCACCCACGUGCUGGGCUUUAUUGGGAUCAUUUAACUUUUUCUCUCAUCGGCUCACACAUUUCACGGUUCUUAGUUUCACUACGGUCUCCCUAGAGUCUGGUGCUAGGCCUUCCUGACACCUGUGAAGGGCUCCUCAGGUACCUGUUGCGUGCACUGGAUCGUUUUAAAGCGUGUACUCUCAAGAGUGGGUAGCACACCUGCCAUGCUAUGGACUAGGAAUAAUAAAAAUAGUUAAUUGCCCUGGGAAAUAUGUAACACAUAUUUUAUUUCAUUAAAAACAGACCUCAAAUUUAGUUUAUAAACAUUUCGAUGUAUGACAGUUACUUUAAAAAAUUUUUUUUAUGUAGUCCCUUCUCCAACAGCUUUGACUCAAACUGUCCAUCUUUCCCUAUAAAUGGUACAGGAUGAAUGUCAUAAAAUAGACUCUACUCCACAACUGUCCCUGAAUUUAAAUAUCUGUAUCUGUGUGUCUGCUCAUUUGACUUCAGGUUAUUUGACUCCUCCUAACAGUCUCUAAAAUUAUAUGCACACACAUUUUUAUUUUUAUUUGGAAUCAGGUAUAGAUUUCUUCUUGGAGUACUUUGCUUUAUAUUUGGCUAAUUUAUAAUUUACCCCUAAACUGUGGCAUUUUUUUUUUAGCAUAUCUUUUAACAGCAUCAGCCUGUGAUUUGGACUGAUGACCCUAGUAUGGGAGCUAGCUCUCUGUAUUGGGUGGUAAAUGACAGUCGUAAUGAUGUUGGUGGCACAUAAGGUCCUGCCGUGAAAACUGCAGGCUCCUCACACUUGUUCUAUGGAGAGCAGAGGCUGGGGUGAGAAGGAAGACUAAAGAUCAACAUGGUGAAGGCUGAAACCCUGAGGAAGAAGUCUUAGACUUGGGUGUGAAACAACCAGACUAGACAGAUAAGGGGGACAAGGGGCUCUAGGCCAGGGAAGGCCGACCAGCUGUCCCCUCCCACUUGGACCUGUCCUGCUAGUUUCUAGUCAACUUGAUACAAGUUUGAGCCAUUUGAGGAGAGGGAACGGCUACUGAGACAAUGUCGCCAACAGACUUUUCUGUAUGCAAGCCGGUGGGCCGUUUUAUUGAUUAAUAAUUGAGCAGGGAGGGCACAGCCCACUGCGGGGGGGGGGGCUGGGGUAAUGCCACCCCUGGGCAGGUGGUCCCGGGUGGUCUAAGAAAGCAGGCUGAGCACGCUGUAAGAAGUAAGGCAGUAAACAGCUUCUUCCAAGGCCUGUUUCACUUCUGCCUUAAGGUUCACACCUUGGGUUCCUGUCUCGGCUUCUGUCAAUAUUGUAACUCGGAAUAUGUGAGCCAAAUAAACCUUUUUUCCUCUCCAACUUGCGUUUGGUCAUGGUCUUCUAUCAGAGCACUGGAAACAGACUAAGACAUCUCUCACACCCUCGAGAGGCGUAUGUAUGCCGCCAUUGGUUUCUCUUACGUCCUGGCUUGUUACGCAGCUAACUGUAAUAGACUACAUUUUACGGAUUGCUUCUAACAAAAGACUUCCACCUCAGAAACUGCGGACUACCCUGUAGAGAAGGAACUGAAUAUGACACAGCCAAGAAAGACUGAAGCUACAUCUUGGUGGCCGUGAUAGAGCUAGCUCUCUGCCACAAGUAAACUAUAGGCUGGUCACGUAGUUGUGGGGACAGGGGAAGCUUAGUUUCAUUAACAGCACUGGCGAGACACCUGCAAGGUCAGGCGAUAGUAACACUGUCCAAGUGACUAAGAGUUAUCAGUCAAUAACUAACAAAGUUGGAGUAAGAGAUGGACAGAGGAGAGGGUCAGCCACCUCUAACUGGGUAAGCACCACGUGAACAGCUCGUGACCAUCUUCCUGGCUGGGCAGGCACGGCAUGCAUACAGCUUGCGAUUCUUACAUUUUCUCAG